CCAGGUGAUCUUAUGGAGACCUCAGUUCUCCCACACGGACUCCUCUCUCACUCCAGGCUGGGUGAAAGGGCAUGAGUCUGUCUGGGAAGCCAUUUCUCCCUGUCCAUAGCCUGUCCAGUUCCUGUUGCGACCUCAGCUGCCAUCCUUUCUUAUCUCCUGCUGUAUCCAAGACAACCGACAGCUCCUAUGAGGCAGUGAGAAGAGAAAGGUGCGGCAGACAGGGUCAGUUCAACAGUCAGAGCUUCCCGGCUGAGGCAGCCACCUGCUCUGUCUGAGGAUCUCAUGGUGGGAGGGAGCAGACUGGGCUGUUUGUGAAAUUCAAGGAGGUAUGGUGGUGGUGGCAGGGGGCUUUAAAGGCACUGAAAAAGAAGCUUCUUUAAACACCAGUGCCCCAAGCUCUGGCUGAGCCAGCCUUUAUUGAGAGUUGGGAACUGUAUGAGUGUAGAAUCAGAAGAACUGGGUUGCAUGCCUUCCUCCAGCCUGACCAGCUGUGUGAACUCAGGGCAUUUGGACUCAGAACAUUCACUGCCUCAGGGGACAGACGACCCACCAGAAGUUAGAAGUUGGUUCUUGUCUUCUGAGUGUCAAACACUGAUGCCUGUGUUUGGAGGAUCUGGGAACAGAGAGGACCUCCCCGUCCCCAGGCUAGAGGCUGAGGAGUUGGAAAAGACUCCAGUCUAUUCCCAGAGCAAGUGUAGCAUUGACUGCCUGGAGACUCAGAGCACAGUCCUAGGGCAGCCUUGAGUCUUCUGGGGCUGGGCCAACUCCUCCGCCCACCAGCUAAGCCUCACCCUGGAGGCAAGAGUAACCAAUCCACCCAAUUCCCCUGCUGCUGGACCCCUCCUGGACUACCAGGUGGGCUAUGCACCUUUUGUUUUGGGGAGGAAAAUGUUUAUCUGAGUUUGUUUUUUUUACACAAGCAUAUUAGUCACUGAAGCUCUUUGGGCUUGGCUUCUGCUGCUGCUCGGUCCGACUCUUUGCGACCCCAUGGACUGUAGUCUGCCAGGCUCCUCCAUCCAUGGGAU
rnacentral:lncRNA from 1 species